AAUAUUGAACUUACCAUUUCUACUAUAUGAUUAUACUGUUUCUGUCAUAUAGACUUGAAUAUUUGAAAAAAUUAAAGUAAAAAGUUCUAACAAAAAAACUGAUUUUUGACAGAAAAUCAACGAAUUUUUGACAUUACAAGAAAUUAUUUCGGAGUAUUUUAGAACAUUUUCAAAAGUUGUCAUUUUAAAUUCCCCUUAUGAUCAGGGCUGACCCCAAGUAGUUGGGAUUAAGGCGAGAAAAAAGAAGAAGAUUUUAUUAAUAUUCAUUUGAUGGAUAUGAUAGAGGUUACUUCACCAUUCUUCAACAAUAUGAAUCAAUAAAAGUUCUUACUUUAUAAUGGUCUUCAGCUUUUUUCCAAUCUUCUUCAGAUAAAUUGACAGUUCCAAAUGAUUGCAUUGCAUAUUGUAAGAGUGCUGGAUCUGAUCGACCAACUUGGCUUAUCAUUGGUCCAGACAUACCAGGAAUACCACCUAUGAUAAAAUAAUGAUUAAACUAUUUUAAUUAAUAUAUUAAACUUUAAUUAAAUAUUCUUUUACACAUUUAAUCAAAUACUUACCAAGUUUUUGAACAUUGAAAGGCUGAGAAGGUGUUUUCACAGUAUUUGCUAAUGGAAUUCCUACAUUAGAAGAAACAUUAGGGAUCUUCACAUUAUCACUUUCCCACCUACUUUUACGUUUACGUUUUUUAUUAGAACUAUCAUGAUUUUCAGAACUACAUAUUUCUUGGUUGACUGAUGAUGGUAUGAUUUCAGUAGGGGUAAGUUUAUUUGCUACAAUUUUAGCUCUUAAAUAACUAACUCUUUGUCUAAAAAUUGCAUAAGCUGUAGAAUUUUUGUCUCUUAAAAAUCUAAGAAAUUAUGAUUGAUUUAAAAAAUUAAAGAUAUAAAAUUAUUAUAUUAACUUUAACAUACAAUAAAUUAACAUCUUGAGGACGUUCUUGUAAUAUUAUAUUUUCUAUUUCAUCACCAAACUCAGCUACAGUGGCAGCCAAACUUUCAACAUCUUCAUUAUUGAGUAUAGCUUGUGGGUCACAUCUCAGCACUGUAUUCAAAGCUAGACAACUCUGAAUCAGCUCAAUGUGUGAUUAACAGUACCUCUUGGAACUGCAGUGAAGGUUUCUAUCGUCUGUGGCGGAACAUUCAAUAAAUGUGUAGCAUUUGGAGAUGGCCCCAAAGAUACUGUAGACGUCUCAGUUACUAUAAAAG